UUGAUCAUGGCUCAGGACGAACGCUGGCGGCGUGCCUAAUACAUGCAAGUCGAGCGGACCCUUCGGGGUUAGCGGCGGACGGGUGAGUAACACGUAGGCAACCUGCCUGUAAGACUGGGAUAACUACCGGAAACGGUAGCUAAGACCGGAUAAGUGAUUCUCUUGCAUGAGAGGAUCAAGAAACACGGGGCAACCUGUGGCUUACAGAUGGGCCUGCGGCGCAUUAGCUAGUUGGUGGGGUAACGGCUCACCAAGGCGACGAUGCGUAGCCGACCUGAGAGGGUGAUCGGCCACACUGGGACUGAGACACGGCCCAGACUCCUACGGGAGGCAGCAGUAGGGAAUCUUCCGCAAUGGACGCAAGUCUGACGGAGCAACGCCGCGUGAGUGAUGAAGGUUUUCGGAUCGUAAAGCUCUGUUGCCAGGGAAGAACGUCGUG
rnacentral:rRNA from 1 species